CCUACGGGUGGCAGCAGUGAGGAAUAUUGGUCAAUGGCCGGGAGGCUGAACCAGCCAAGUCGCGUGAGGGAAGACGGCCCUACGGGUUGUAAACCUCUUUUGUCAGGGAGCAAGGUGCAGGUCGGGACCUGCUGUGCGAGUACCUGAAGAAAAAGCAUCGGCUAACUCCGUGCCAGCAGCCGCGGUAAUACGGAGGAUGCGAGCGUUAUCCGGAUUUUUUGGGUUUAAAGGGUGCGCAGGCGGAGGCACAAGGCAGCGGUAAAAUCGCGGGGCUCAACCCCGCUCCGCCGUUGAAACUGUGUCGCUUGAGUGCGCGAAGGGUAGGCGGAAUUCGUGGUGUAGCGGUGAAAUGCAUAGAUAUCACGCAGAACUCCGAUCGCGAAGGCAGCCUGCCGGCGCGGAACUGACGCUGAUGCACGAAAGCGUGGGUAUCGAACAGGAUUAGAUACCCGAGUAGUC
rnacentral:rRNA from 1 species